rnacentral:rRNA from 1 species
AGUGAACGCUGGCGGUAGGCCUAACACAUGCAAGUCGAACGGCAGCACAGGAGAGCUUGCUCUCUGGGUGGCGAGUGGCGGACGGGUGAGGAAUGCAUCGGAAUCUACUCUUUCGUGGGGGAUAACGUAGGGAAACUUACGCUAAUACCGCAUACGACCUACGGGUGAAAGCCGGGGACCUUCGGGCCUGGCGCGAAUGAAUGAGCCGAUGCCCGAUUAGCUAGUUGGCGGGGUAAGAGCCCACCAAGGCGACGAUCGGUAGCUGGUCUGAGAGGAUGAUCAGCCACACUGGAACUGAGACACGGUCCAGACUCCUACGGGAGGCAGCAGUGGGGAAUAUUGGACAAUGGGCGCAAGCCUGAUCCAGCCAUACCGCGUGGGUGAAGAAGGCCUUCGGGUUGUAAAGCCCUUUUGUUGGGAAAGAAAAGCAGCUGGUUAAUACCCGGUUGUUCUGACGAUACCCAAAGAAUAAGCACCGGCUAACUUCGUG